CUGUCAUCACACAGGGCUUUACGGCUUUUCUCGGGAUGUUCUGCCAGGAGAGGUGGAUGAAGCUGGCACGUCAGGCACACUUAAGCCAGUUUCCCACCAGCUUACAGGAGCAAAAACCAGUUUCAUUAUGACAUGAAGUCACAAAACCUUAUCCAUUUGUUUUUAGUAUCAGCAGCAGCAACAACAACUCCCAGCUUUCUUCUCCGAGCCUUUCCUUUUGAUGUGUGACUGGAUCAUGGUGUUGUCCAAUGUUGACCUGCUCUAGCAAUCUUAAGAAGAGGGCGCCAGAUCUCAUUAAAGAUGGUUGUGAACCACCAGUGUGGCUACUGAGAAUGGAACUCAUGACCUCUGGAAGAGCAGCCAGUGCUCUUAACCUCUGAGCUAUCACUCCAUCCCCUGGCCUUGAACUUUCAAUGCUCCUGCCUCAGCCUUCAGAAACCCACCAUUUUGCAGUCCUGGAGACCACAUAAGCAAAAUCAAGACUGAAUGGCUGUGGGACCAGGCGGGACAGAAAUUCUCAUCUGCACUAAAUCCUUCACCUGUAAAAUCUGCCCUGCCAUCUUUGAUUCCCCCCAAGGCCCUUCACUCUAAGGGGAGCCCCUGAUUCAGUACAUUGUUAAAAUCCCCAUGCCGUUCAAACACAUAUAUGGCAAAGCCAGUCCUGGGCUUCAUGUGGAACUGUAAGGGAUGCCAAAUUAUCAAGCAAUAGUAUAAAAAUCAAAAUUAAACAAUGCUCUCAUUCAUUAAACAUGCCUUAGUCCAGGCAAUUUAGAGACAAGGGGAAUUUAUCACACAGUUCUAGACACGAAAGCCAAUGACAGCAUCAACAGAUUGGGAGUCUGGUGAGAAAAUUUCCUCCUAAUGCUACCUGCUGUGUGUCUUCAAGCAGAAGAACAGAGGGGCUCCCUGGGAAUUAGCAAAGUCUUCAUGACCUAGUCACAUGUCAGUGUCCCGCCUCCACAUCACCGUGAGUGUUAGCUUUCAAUGUAUGAAUUCAGGGAGACAGAGGCAACAGAAUCUGCCGCCCAGAAAAGGAACCCGUGGUCUCGGGGUUUUGCACGGUCUCCCCUGCUCUCUUUCCCUCACCUCGCUUUUCCAGGCCACCCAGGAGCGCUGCAUUAAUUAAACACGGGCAUCUUUUAUUUGGUCUAAUUGGUCUGAUGGGAAUUAUUUGCAUCGGCAGGGAAGCUCGUCUUGAGAAAUAUUCCUAACACCGGCGAAGACAGAAGUCGAGUCCACAGAAAUAAGAAACAGUCUGAGUGGCCAGGGAAGGGAAUGGAGGGUGCUUACUUAGGGGAACGUGCCUUUCUGGAUUGACGACAAUGUUUAGAAACUCAGGAGUGGAUGUGGUGGUGCAAACCCGAGAUGCCCUCUAAGAAGGCUAGGUUACGACUGUCCCCUCAGUAAGAGUAUCAGCAGAAGAGGGGACAAUGAGUGACAGCGGCAGAUGAAAGCCACCGAGACAGUCCCUGGGCGCCACCGAGACGGUCCCUGGGCGCCACCGAGACAGACGGUCCCUGGGCGCCACCGAGACAGACGGUCCCUGGGCGCCACCGAGACGGUCCCUGGGCUCUCACAUCUGCUAUGUCUGCUGCAGGUGAUCUUGCCACUGCCCACAGUAUGGGAGAUCUCACCUUCCCACUUAUCCCAAGGCCUCUGCAGAGUUCCAGGCAUCCUCCCCUACACCUCUAGCCUUCAUGUUUGUCACUAGCGACUGUGUGGGGCUUACAAAACGCUGCCUAAAACAAACAACAAAACAAAUAACAAAACACAGCUCCCCUUUCUGGCUGAGGAAAAGUACCUCCCCGGUGGGGCUUACUCAGUAAGAAAAUAUCAGUUCCUAGAGGGGACCCUUGGGGUUCUUGCCCUGAGGCUGGGGACUGUGAAGGAGGUCUAGCCUGAGUCCUCUGUGGCGCUAGACAUCCAUAGGCAUGGCUACUUGGCUGUUCCGCCGUUCCAGGCUCACAAAUACCUCAUUCCCUUCGUGCCCUCCUCCUGGCCUGCCGAGGCUCAUGGGUCUUCUGUGGAGAUGCCUAGCCCUCAUUUCAUGGUCGAUGCUUCACUGCAGAGACCUGUUUUCCCCAGUCUGCCCAGUGUUCACCAUCACUGGGUGGGCAGCUUGUGCUAUACCCAUGCACAUCAACGUCCUUGCUUCAGUAAGAGCUGAGCCGUUAGUAAUCAUGACUCAGGUUUAUUACAUCUCAAUCUGCCAGAAUUCCCAGCCUGGCCAAGUACAGAUCGCCUCACCAGCAGCUUAGGAACCAUCUGCCUCCCAGUGCAGACUCAGUGGGUCUUGGCUGCACCGUACCACACCGUCCAUCCCCAGCUCUGUUGAGACCCCGACCCUUCCUAAGAAGCCUCAAGCGCACAUGCCCAGAUCCCUGAGAAGGGCUGCCUGUCCGUGUGAGUUGUGUGAACUCAGACCAUUUCUGCUGCUGGAGGAACGUGGUGCGGGCUCUGAGGCAGCCCGCAGAGCUAAGGAGAUUCCUGGAAGAGAAACUUCGUGUUCCUCCAGAUUUAGAGACAUUAACGCCAAGUGUAGCCAGGGUAUUUAAAAGAAAAGUGGAAUUUCUGUUUUUCUUUGGAAGUGACAGUUAUUUAUCUUGUCAGCUCCAGAACACGUGAGGCACAGGGCUUUGGCCUGACCACCGCUGAGCCCGAGAUUCUGUUGUCUGGGAAGACAGCCGCAUUCCUGAGGUGUGAGACCGUCGAGAGUCUGUUUUUAUGGGUUCUGUGGAGACACUGCGGCCAGGAACAAUGUUCUUGUGGGUACUGCCUGGUCUGCCAGAGGAGUGGGCUGGCCCGGCUUGUGCUGGGACCUCGGCCUUGCACAGGGGAAAAGCUUCAGCCAUGGCCUCCUCAGCUCAUAGACUAGCUGGAGCCUCCCUGGGCCCUGGAUGUGAGCCAGUUCAGGGAUGGACAGGGGGAGGAAGUAUAGCCCAGGAGUCAGGCAGAGGGAAACUGUACCUGAGAGGAGGCAGCGCCUCAGACAGUGUCUGCACUGCCAGAGAGCCACACUCCUGGGUGACUUCACCAAGGCUGGUAGAAGCGAUCCCAUGGCAGGCUAGAAGCCUCUCCACCCUCAGUUUCCCCUCGUGGAAAUGAAAAGUACAUCUGUCUCACGUGCAAAGACACAACUGUGUUCUGGGCAAGGGAGCAUCAUUCUCUCCUCUGUUCUCUUGCAGGUGAAUGUGUCUCCCUUUCCAAGGGUUUCACACCCUCGGUGCCCACGGAAGACCUGUUCUCCAUUUUGUCGACACCGGUUGUGUUGACACUAAGUGCUUUGUUCCGGUCACUGUGCCCCUCUGUCCAUCCCAGUGUGGGGCUUCCUGUGUUCUUGGUAAGGCAGAAACUCAGAACUGAGGCUUUAGAGGCCAGGACUUAAGCCAAGGCCAGAGGGUGCCAAGCCCUAACUGUCCUCGCCAGAAUCCACAGGAUCCAACUACCAGGCUCUCGGCCAGAAGAGGAAUUACAUCUGCCACAGACUUGAGGAGAAGCUCCUGUCCUGCACAUGAAGACCCUGCAGCCACCCUUUGUCCCACUUCCAUCACCUCCAGAACCUCCAGAAGCCGAGAGUAAAGGAAAUUUAUGCUGUUGCUCAUAUGGGAACACACAGGAAGGGUUGGCAUGCCCGGAAAGAGAUGUGUGAUGCCAUUGCCACCAGCAGAACCAUCUGAUGAAGCAAGAUGCAUGGGACCAAGCUUGGGAUGUGGGACAGGUGCCUCAUACACAGCUUGCUUUGGAAAACUAGCUAUAUCCUAAGCAUAACUGCUUUUCAAUCCAACACUAUGUACUACACCACAGGAACAAAACCCCACUGAAACCAGGAUGUACACAUGAGGCUCUGCCUGUGACAGUUAAUAUCAUGAACUCCAAAUGGCCACCAUUUGGUCAUCUGUGCACAAAGAGUCGUGUAUGGUGCAACAGAACGCCAGACAAUGUAAAGAAACUAGAACUGUGUGCACCAUCACGAAAGAACUCAGAAUCUCUGUGCUGCAUACCAGAAGCCAGAGGAUGGAGAGGCCAUGGCUAAGGCUCUUACCGUGCACGAUUCCCAACCUACAAGUCCUCAUUGAGACCUAGGAUAGAAGCCAGCCUCUGGGGAGGGGGAGGGAGAGGGGUCAUAGACAGAAAGAAUGCAUUAAGGUAUGGUUAUGGCAAGAAGGCUUCUGUGUAGGACAGACCUCUGUGCAAGGCUCAUGGACCAGAAGAGGCUACCAUGAAGACAUUAAAAGAAGUAAUCACACCAAGAAGUCAACAAAAGAAAGUUCCACACCGAGAGAGGCCAGUCCACCCCAGUCAGGGUGAUAAGGAGGCUCUACCACCUGACUGCAAGAAAACCAGCUGUGGAACCAUCUCUGAGUCCGUUCUGCAUCCUUGGUCCUCAAAGGCCUGCUGACCCCCCACUCACAGCAAACUGUUGCUUGCUGGAAGUAGUUUAUCCCCGACUGGAGUCACAGAGCAGAGCCCUGGUAUCUUUAAACUACAUCUGCUACAGUUUUGUCUCUUGACGCUAGUGUCUGAGCACCUGAAGCCGCGCGAUCGUGCCCCGCAGACAUAUGCACAGUUUAUAGUACUUGAUUCUCAUUCGAUCACGCCGCAUAAAAAUCCCAACAUUUUAAAAGUCACAAUCACUGCUCCCAGAAUUAGUCCAUCUAUUUUCAACCCAGUCCUGUCUGUUUCUCUGUCCCUUAUAGGUCAUCUGGGGAGGUCAAUGUCCCUUCUGGUUUGUCAAGGCUGGGGCCAGGCCUGUGGCCUGUCCUCCAAAAUCCCUCCUGCCAGUGGGGUUAAUUUGGUGUUAAGUCCCUCCCUCCCCUCUCCCUCUUGCUCCCCUACUCAGUACCCGGGGCAGGCCUGGAACUCACUAUGUAGUCUGCACUGCCCACAAGCUUGUAGCCAUCCCCUUCUUCCAGCCGUCAGCGUUGAGAUUACAGGUGUGCUCCAUCAAGCCUGGCGAUGCUGAGGAAUGUGUGCUUUGCUUUGGCCUCCCGAGAGCGUCUGGCCCCAGUGUGAGCGCGCACUUGGAGUGAACGCUGCCUUUCCUGUAGCUCGGGCUCUUUUGAGCUGUUGCUCACUUUGGAUCACUCUGAUGACUGGGCUUUGUCUUCUGAUUUAUUCUGAGCCACUGAGGUUCUGUUGGACUACUUGGGCAUUAUACUGUGUACGUGACUGGCACUGUCUAUUUGGAAGAUUUUUUUUUUUGAGCAAAUUUGGAGUUAUGUAGGACUGUUUGGCUAUCUACCAUGGUAAGGGAAGUUAAAUUGUGUUGGUUUGGGAGUGUUCUGUUGAACCAUAGGGGUUCAGCUGAACCUUUGAGACAUGAAAACAAGGUUUUUUAGGGAAUCUCUGCCAUGACUUGUGUGACCAUGGACAUCAUGAAGCCUGUCCAGCCUUGGUGUAUUCAGGAAGGUUCCAGAAUGGCUACAACGGGUUCGAGAGACAAAGAGGACAGGGCGCUGCAGAGCACUGAGCCAUCACAGGGUGGAGUGUCUUCUUCAUGACGUCCUUUCCCCAGUUUACAGCUGCUGAGUUCUCUGGCCUUUCCGGAUAUGAUUUUAGCAUGCCUGUGUGAUCUUACAGCCCCGGCUCACCCUAAAGAAUUUAUAGGGAGGGCUGGAGAGAUGGCUCAGUGGUUAAAAGCACUGAUUCUUCCAGAGGUUCUGAGUUCAAUUCCCAGCAACCACAUAGUGGCUCACAGUCAUCUAUAGUUAGAUCUGGUGCCCUCUGCUGGCCUGAAGGCAUACAUGCAGGCAGAAUACUGUAUACAUAAUACAUCUAAAAAAAAGUUUCUAGGGCAGUAUGCUUUCUACUCCCAGGAAAGUCAUUUACCAGUUUAUGCUCUCUGGGUAAGGCCAGGCAGGUGGUUCCACUCACAUGUCUGCCCAAGUACACACCAGCUUCCGCCCUCAACAAGCUGCUUGUAAAAUGGAGUCUCUUGAGGCAAGGCACAGUAUGGAAAAAAACAGUGUUUUAUAUCAUAUAAAGUAACUUUGGGCAAGGCACAUCUCAGCAGAAAGGAUGACUCUCUGGUGGCAGCCAGAGGUGAAAUUGCUUCCCACAAGGAAAUUUCCCAGCAUUGACAGCUGGUCGGGCCACUUUGAAGGAGAUUGGAGCCCAGACGAAGACGGGUCAACGAUGGGCUUCUGCUCUCUGCCCUCUACUUAAGGCUAAACCUCGCGUCAGAGCUCUGGAGAUGAACUUGAGGCCACUAGGCAUCUUCAUUCCUCUUUCUAAUGUAGUCACAGUGACUAGAUCCCCCUCUUUGGUUGUUACUAUUACUUGUUUAAACUGCUAUGUUGAGGAUGGGUGGCUGGAUCUAACUUGUCUGAGUUGCUGGGACCCAGGCCGUGUCCCUAACACUCUGAUGAUACCGGUUGAUCAUCACUGGGGACACCUUGGAUUUCUGAUGUCCCCAACUCCAAGAAGCUAUACCCUCUUCUAUCUCCAGGAAGGUCCUCUUUUUGGUUUUUGAUGUAACAGGACUCCAUGAUCAACUGGCUCAUGCUUCAGCCUUACCUUGACUCCCCCAAGGACCUAGUUAGUAGCUUAAAGAAGAGGAGACCAGCUCUGAAAAGCCACUUUUAGGGCUGAAUACACCAGGCAGAGAGGCCUUUGGCCCUGGCUAUUGUUUUUUUUUAAUUUUUUUUAUUUUUUUUAUAUUUUAUGAGCAACGUGGCUGUGGGCAGCCUAACCAAAAAUGCUUGGCCUCUCUACCUCCUGCUGCGAGAGGCUAGCCUGGGGAUGGGGGGGAGAGGCUGCACGAGGCUUGGCCGUGCUUGGUCCGAGUGAGUCUGCCAGCCUCUUGGCCCGUGCUCUCAGAGCAUUUCAAAUCGUCCCCUCUAAGGACCCGCAAGGCCAAAACCCCCCUCCUGUCCCUCCCCACGCCAAAGCCAUGCAGGAUCCUGCUGGCAACAGGACUCCAGGCUUCCUUGCCUCCAUGGCAACGACUGUUUGAGUAAACUGUGUCCAAGCCCUCCAGCUGGCAGGAUGAGAGCGUUCUGGAAGCCCAUUAAUGUUUACAUACUCUUGUUCCUUCUGCUCCUAGUCACCAGUCUGCGGCACCCACAGAGCAGAGGGGCUCCUGCAGCCUGUAUGGGAAGGGAGCGGCCACCGAGAGCCUGCUAAAAAACAACUUUUAUGACCGGCGUGAUGCCUCACACCUGCGAUCUUAGUGUGGCGUCCAAAGGCACAAGCUAGGGGAUCCACAGUUCAGAGCUGGCCUAGGCUGUAUAGGCCUAGACUCCAUCUCAAAACACGCACACAUCCCACAUGCAUUCCCUCCCCCCCCACCCCAAACCAUACAUCACACCCCCUCACAUUCCCCAACUACCCACUACAAGAUACACAUCACACCAUAUACCAUACCACACAUACCACACCAUACACCACACACACAUACACCACACAAACACACAUGCACACCACACCACACACUACACCAAUCAAUUUGCCACACACACCCCAUACAUCAUUACCACAUUCUCUCUCUCUCUCUCUCUCACACACACACACCACAUAUACACAACACACUACACACACCCCCAUAAUCCACCAUACACACCACACACACCACACCCAUACAUACACCCCCAUACACCACAAACACUUCUAUAAAUAAGUCCUCUGACAUAUGUGGAUGUGGAUACCAGAAACACUUUGUUUGCUACUCAGUUUUGUGAGGUGUUUCCGACUGCUUCAAGCCCCGGCUGCGCUGACAUCCUACCAUAACUGAGUUCGUGCUUGAAAUGUAAGCCAGAAAAAAGAACCCUUCUCUCUCCACACUUUUCCCAGAUUAUCCUGUUACAGCAACAAGAAAAGAACCACGACACUAGAACAAUUGCACCCCCCCAAGCUUGUGGACUUAUUUUUAUCCAUUAAAAUAUGACAUAUGGAAAGACACACACACACGUAUCCCUUUAUUUCUGGCAUAGUACAUUUGUCUGUCUCUGGAAGCCACAUCUCUGUUGGGGGUGGCAAGCUACCAUAGUUCCUCACUGCUUCCUAUCUCCAUGCCGGGCACACACAAGCCAAUGGUUUUUCUCCCCUUGGUCUGCCCUUUGGUCCCCUUACAAACUUGCGAGGGAAGGGAACGAUCCCUAUAGCUGGCAUGUUCCACGAACUCAGGUUAAAAAGCCUGAAGACAGGGCAGGGUAAUGACAAGGAGAACCCUGUGUCCACUGUCUGGGGGCCUGCAGGACCCAACCCUUCACCAAGAGAAUGAAGGAAUGGCGUUGAGAUCAGGCUGGGCUCUGCCCCGAGUUAAUCCAUAUCAUAUAGAAUAGUUUUUUUUUUUUUUUCAGGCUGCGCCUUGUCUGUAUCUUAGUUAGGGUUAUUAUUGCUAUGACGAAACACUAUGACCAAAAACAAGUUGGGGAGAAAAGGGUUUAUUUGGCUUACACUUCCACAACAUGGUUCAUCAUCGAAAGAAGUCAGAGCAGGAACUCAAAAAGGACGAGAACCAAGAGGCAGGAGCUGAUGCAGAGGCCAUGGAGGGGAGCUGCUUACUGGCUCGCUCCCCAUAGCCUGCUCAGUUUGUUUUCUUUUCUUUUUUUUUUUUUUUUUUCCGAGACAGGGUUUCUCUGUGGUUUUGGAGCCUGUCCUGGAACUAGCUCUUGUAGACCAGGCUGGUCUCGAAUUCACAGAGAUCCGCCUGCCUCUGCCUCCCAAGUGCUGGGAUUAAAGGCGUGCGCCACCACCGCCCGGCUUCAGUUUGUUUUCUUAUAGAACCCAGGACCACCAGCCCACGGGUGGUACCACCCACAAUGGCCUGGGCCCUCCCCAGUAAUUAUUAUUUAAUGUCAGCUCUUAUGUAGGCAUUUUCUCAAUUGAGCUUCCCUCCUUUCCAAGGACACUAACUCGUGUCAAGCUGACAUAAUACCAGCCAUCACUAUGGACUCCCUGUCAGCGCGACACACAAACAUAUCACUAUUAAGCCUCGAACCUCCUUUCCCAUUCAUCCACCCCCAAGAUCUUACACUAACGUGAACAUCACAAUAUAAAACAUUCCAAAUUUUAAAAGUCGCACAGUCAUUAAAAAUGCAAACACUUAAAAACUCAGUGUUUCCCCAACUCCAGCAAGCAGUACCUGGGACCCACGGGCCAUUCCUGCCCUUACAACAGGUAGGCUGACUACAGAUCUUCCCUCUCCUUCUGCUUCUCCAAAUCCAAUCCCCCAGUCUCAUCCCCAGCUCCAUAGCAGACUUUUUAAAGGAGCCUCACUUUACCCUCUGCCUCCAUUCCAAAGAUCCUGGUGGAACUCUGGUGAAUUUGUUUUCCUCCCUCCUGUGAGCCCCCUCAAAACCCCAGCCUAUCCCUAAGAAGAGCUGAGAAUACCCAGAAACUGGAGCCCCAGUAGCCACACCUAUCAGGGCCACAGAAAAUUUCUACCAGGCAGUAUACAGCUACCACACUCUCCUAAGAACCAGGAAGGAAACAGAAAAAAGGAAAAAAAAAAAAAAACAAGGAACAAGAGUCCACCUAAUGAAGACAAAACUAGGUAUCAGCACCCUGAAGUAUAAUCCUCCCAGGCCCAGGUGCUUAGACACUAGCAAAAAUAAAUAAAUAAAUACACAACCAUUAACAGCCAGGACAGUAUGACUCCACCAGAGACCAGCAACUCGACCACAGCAGGCUCUCAGUAUUCCCCCAGAGAUGAAGCAUGAGAAAAAGACCUUAAAACAGCCAUUAUAAAUAUGAUAGAGGUCCUGAAAGAGGAAAUGAAUACAUUCCUUAAAUCCAUGACAGCACAGACAGUGGAAGGAAAUGAAUAAAGCUGUUCAAGACCUGAAAAUGGAAACAGAAUCAAUAAAGAAAACUCAAGCUGAGGGAAGUCUGAAAAUGAAUAAUUCAGGAAUUCAGACAGGAACUAGAGAGGUGAUGGUCAUCAAGAGAUGGAAGAGAAUCCCAGGCACGGAAGGCAGAGAGAAGAAAUAGAUACCUAGGUAGGGGAAAACAUUAAAUCUGAAAACUCCUGACAUGAAACAUCUGGGAAAUCUGGCAUACUAUGAAAGACCAAAUCUAAAAAUAAUAGGAAUAGAGGAAGGAGGAAGAAACCCAGGUCAAAGGCACAAAAAAUAUUUUCAACAAAAUCAUAGAAGAAAAUUUCCCUAGCCUAAAGAAGGAGAUACCUGUCCAGGUACAAAAGCAUACAGAGUACCAGAUAAACUGGACCAGUAAAUCAAAACAUUAAACAUACCAAAGGAAGAAAGAAUAUUAAAGGCUUCCAAGAAAAAUGAUCCAGUACCAUACAAAGGCAGACCUAUUAGAAUUACAACUGACUUCUCAAUGGAAACUCUAAAAGCCAGAAGGGCCUAGACAGAUGUGCUCAAACUCUAAGCGACCACAGAUGCAGGCCCAGACUACUGUACCCAACAAAACCAUAGAUGGAGAAAAACAAGUUAUUCCAUGAUAAAGUCAAAUUCUAACGAUAUCUAUCCACAAAUCCAACCCUACAGAAGGUGCUAAAAGGAAAAAAAUCAAUAUAAAGAGGUUGUUCAAACCCAAAAAAACCCGUAAGGAAUAAUUCCAGACCAGCAAAAUCAAAAGAAAUGAAACACACACACACACACACACACACACCACCACCACCACCACCACCAACAAAAUACUAGGAAGCAACAAUCAUUUGGUCAUUAAUAUCUCUUAAGAGCAAUGGUCUCAAUUCCCCAAUAAAAAGACACAGACUAACAGAAUGGAUGAGAAAACAGGAUCCUUCUCCUGCAUCCAAGAAUCAUACCUCAAUAUCAAGUUAAAAAAAAAAUUACCUCAACAAAAGGGGAUAGAAAAAGAUAUUCCAGGCAAAUGAAUCUAAGAAACAAGCUGGUAUAGCCAUUUUAAUAUCUAACAAAAUAGACUUCAAACCAAAACUAAUCAGAAGAGAAGCAGAAGGACACUGUACAGUCAAAUAAAAAAUAUCCACCGAGACGACAUUUCAAUUCUUAACAUCUAUACCCAGGAAACACUCCUGCUGCUUAAAUUCCAUUCCUCAUUCACCGAGAGUGGGAAACUUCAGCACACACUCUCACCAAUAUACAGGUCAUUCAGACAAAAACUAGACAGAAAUACUGAACCUAAAAGACAUUAUAAACCAAAUGGACCUAAAAAUUAUCUACACAGACGUCACUCAAACACAAAAGAAUAUAUAUACCCUCUUCUCAGCACCUCAUGGAACUUUCUCCAAAACCAAUCACAUACUUCGACACAAAGCAAGUCUCAAUAGACAAAAGAUAAUUGAAAGAACACCGUGCAGUCUAUCAGACCACUAUGGAUUAAAGCUGUAUAGCAACAACGGAAACAACAGAAAGAUUGCAAACUCGUGGAAAAUGAACAACUCCCUACUUAAUGAAAAAAAUGGGUCAAGACAAAUAAGUUAAGCAUACCCAAACUUAUGUGGCACAAUAAAGGCGGUUCUAAGAGGCAAGUUCAUUAACAAGACCCAGAGGGAAGAACCAGUGCACAGACACAAACAAAAACCAAACCCCAACAGCGUAAAUAAGUCAAUGUCCAAAAAUCUUGGAUUUACUCACGAUC